GGGCCGGUAACGCCUAAUCCCGCCGCCGGCCCGUCGGUACCUGGACCUCAGGCGGGAGCGGGGGACCCACAUGUUCCUCGGUGCUCGACACCUCGGGGUGAAGCCGCCCAUCCGGCGGCCGGGCUCCUCGGCCCGAACCCGACAGCUCACCUCGUCGGCGUGGAGGAACCCACAU
rnacentral:sRNA from 2 species